rnacentral:rRNA from 1 species
UGGGGAAUAUUGCACAAUGGGCGGAAGCCUGAUGCAGCAACGCCGCGUGCGGGAUGACGGCCUUCGGGUUGUAAACCGCUUUCGCCUGUGACGAAGCGUGAGUGACGGUAAUGGGUAAAGAAGCACCGGCUAACUACGUGCCAGCAGCCGCGGUGAUACGUAGGGUGCGAGCGUUGUCCGGAUUUAUUGGGCGUAAAGGGCUCGUAGGUGGUGGAUCGCGUCGGAAGUGUAAUCUUGGGGCUUAACCCUGAGCGUGCUUUCGAUACGGGUUGACUUGAGGAAGGUAGGGGAGAAUGGAAUUCCUGGUGGAGCGGUGGAAUGCGCAGAUAUCAGGAGGAACACCAGUGGCGAAGGCGGUUCUCUGGGCCUUUCCUGACGCUGAGGAGCGAAAGCGUGGGGAGCGAACA